UACGGGGGGAGCAAGCGUUGUUCGGAUUUACUGGGCGUAAAGGGCGCGUAGGCGGCCACUGCAAGUCAGUUGUGAAAUCUCCGGGCUUAACCCGGAAAGGUCAACUGAUACUGCAGGGCUAGAGUGCAGAAGGGGCAACUGGAAUUCUCGGUGUAGCGGUGAAAUGCGUAGAUAUCGAGAGGAACACCUGCGGCGAAGGCGGGUUGCUGGGCUGACACUGACGCUGAUGCGCGAAAGCCAGGGGAGCGAACGGG
rnacentral:rRNA from 1 species